UUAGAUGAAUGUAGGGUUGUUCACUCUCAAACCCAUGAAACUUGGGUAACAUGUUUAUUGUUGCAGCCCGAAUCUCGAAUUGGCUUGCAUUAUUAAUUGGUAAUACUAUGCAAGUAGGGGGACUAGCGGAUGCGGGUGCAAACAACUCAUUCAAAGUUCUAAUAUGUUCACCCAUUGUAGAGAUUGACGGUUGGUUUACAGUUCGCAGGUUGUGAUGAAAAGUUCUGUCAAUCUCAGGAUCAAAUGGGGUUAACUUAUCCCUUAAUGACCUUCUACCAUGCAUACAUUAUCAA
rnacentral:lncRNA from 1 species